CUUGUUCUUGGGCCAGGCCCUGCACUGCUCAGAGAUUUUAUUAUUCUCGUCUUUUCCCUUUUCACAGCCACGUCAGCUCACACAAAGCAAUCAGUAGUCCCUGCCGAUGCCAGCCUGGAGAACUGCAAACACCAUCCUCAGGGUGCUGCCAGCAGAAGAGGCUCUGCCAUUACGCACAGACUGAGCCCCUGCASUGAGGUCAAAGGAAAAGAGACAAUUCCUUUCUCAAGGACUAGUGGACAUGGCAUCCUCUGCCCACCGAAGGCUGGAGCUCAAGCGACCUCAGGAUCCUGUGGAAAAGCUGCAUUAUAAUCGAUAGCCU
rnacentral:lncRNA from 1 species